rnacentral:rRNA from 1 species
GACGUUAAUGCUCGGUCACUCCAACCCAUGUGAACGUUACCAAACUGUUGCCUCGGCGGGAUCUCUGCGGGGGGCGUCGCAGCCCCGGACCAAGGCGCCCGCCGGAGGACCAACCAAAACUCUUUUUGUAUACCCCCUCGCGGGUUUUUUAUAAUCUGAGCCUUCUCGGCGCCUCUCGUAGGCGUUUCGAAAAUGAAUCAAAACUUUCAACAACGGAUCUCUUGGUUCUGGCAUCGAUGAAGAACGCAGCGAAAUGCGAUAAGUAAUGUGAAUUGCAGAAUUCAGUGAAUCAUCGAAUCUUUGAACGCACAUUGCGCCCGCCAGUAUUCUGGCGGGCAUGCCUGUCCGAGCGUCAUUUCAACCCUCGAACCCCUCCGGGGGGUCGGCGUUGGGGAUCGGCCCUGCCUCUUGGCGGUGGCCGUCUCCGAAAUAUAGUUGCGGUCUCCCCCCAGCCUCUCCUGCGCAGUAGUUUGCACACUCGCAUCGGGAGCGCGGCGCGUCCACAGCCGUUAAACACCCAACUUCUGAAAUGUUGACCUCGGAUCAGGUAGGAAUACCCGCUGAACUUAAGCAUAUCAAUAAAGCGGAGGAACCA